UAGGGAAUCUUCGGCAAUGGGGGCAACCCUGACCGAGCAACGCCGCGUGAGUGAAGAAGGUUUCGGAUCGUAAAGCUCUGUUGUAAGAGAAGAACGUGUGUGAGAGUGGAAAGUUCACACAGUGACGGUAACUUACCAGAAAGGGACGGCUAACUACGUGCCAG
rnacentral:rRNA from 1 species